rnacentral:rRNA from 1 species
GACGAACGCUGGCGGCGUGCUUAACACAUGCAAGUCGAACGGUGAACCUCUUCGGUGGGGAUCCGUGGCGUACGGGUGAGUGACACGUGGGCAACCUGAUCCCGGCCCUGGGAUACCUGCAAGAAAUCGGGACUCCUACUGUAUGUUCACCGCUUCUCGCGUGGCUGGUGGUGGAAAGGGUUUCCGGCUGGGGGUGGGCCCGAGGCCUAUCAGCUGCUUGGUAGGGUAGUGGCGUACCAACACGACGACGGGUAGCCGGCCCUGGAGGGUGACCGGCCCCAAUGGGACUGAGAGACGGCGCAGACGCCUACGGGAGGCAGCAGGGGGGAAUAUUGCGCAACGGGGGGGAGCCUGAGGCAGAGGCGCCGCGUGGGGGAUGACGGCCUUCGGGUUGUAAACCUCUUUCUACAGGGACGAAGCGCAAGUGACGGUACCUGCAGAAGAAGCACCGGCUAACUACGUG